rnacentral:lncRNA from 1 species
GGAUCUGAAGUCAAUGAAAAAUUCUUCAUAGCUCUUUUUGUUGGGCUUCCCCAGAAGAUGACACUGAAAGGAAGGUUUGGAUGCAAGUUGUUCAUUUAGGAGGAGAUCUCAGAAGCACAAAGUAUUUCCUUGGGUCAGGACCUCCAAGUCCUCCCCUAACUGUGCAGCAGGUCCAUAAAUUCAUCAGCUUCCCAGGCUGCUUCCACCUUUGCUACAUGUGGCCUCAUCCUUACAGCCCAAGAUGGCUCCUAGGGCUCUAGCCAUCACAUCCUGGUACCAGAGAGCAAGAUGACUGAAGGGGAGGAAAGAGAGCAUGUGCUUGUCUCGUGAAGAGAUUUCCUGGAAGUUACACAAAACAUUUCUGUUUUCAGCUUGUUGACUAGAACAUAGUCGUCUGUCAUACUUAGUGUGGAGGGUGACCAAAGAGGGAGUGUUUUGUCUGAAUAGCAUUGCAUCCAGCCAGAUAGCGAGGGCAAGUAGCUGGAGGGAAGAGGAAGACAGACAUUGUAGAGGAAGCUAGCAGUGACUCCCC